rnacentral:rRNA from 1 species
UACGGAGGGUGCAAGCGUUAAUCGGAAUUACUGGGCGUAAAGCGCACGCAGGCGGUUGAUUGAGUCAGAUGUGAAAUCCCCGGGCUUAACCCGGGAAGUGCAUCUGAUACUGGUAAGCUAGAGUCCUGUAGAGGGGGGUAGAAUUCCAUGUGUAGCGGUGAAAUGCGUAGAGAUGUGGAGGAAUACCGAAGGCGAAGGCAGCCCCUUGGGCAUUUACUGACGCUGAUGCACGAAGGUGUGGGUAUCAAACAGG